GAGCGUUGAAUCGGCUGUAGUCGUUGAAGGUAUUGUGGAGAUGUCGAAUGUUGUUUGUGAUUUUAACCGAGCAAGCUGGAAUAGUAACCAGCGUACUGCGUUAACAGUGUUCGGGCCAGGGUCGGGUGAAGGGAGCUAACUUCUAGCCAUGAUACAUGGGUUCGAUCCUGACUGCACAAACUUUUGUUUUAAAUACCGUUGUGAAAGUGUUCGAGUCUACUUGCAUAGCAGAAGCCCUAAGUGAAGGAACAGUUCAUGUGCAGUGUUCAAAGUAAAUCCUCGAUCAGCAGAUCCCUUAGCUGGUGAAUUUGUGAAUGAAGACAUGGAAUUAGCAGCUUCAGCAUAACUCCUGGUGGAUUUCUGAUGAGGGGCCACUUCAGUUGUGUCAGCAGUUCCUGUGGACCAGUUCUGCAAGACCAUGUUGCCUGAGGCUGGCCUAAUUUCAAAGGACAGCGAUCAUCUGUUUACUGUAAUGUAUUAAUUUGAUAUUUAAGUAACGUAUUGUCACUUAAGAUGAGUGAGCCUCAUUAACUUAAUGAAAUAUGCACAGUUGAGAUUUUAUGGGGUCUGUGUAGAUCCCAUUAAGACAGUCUUCAAGUGGAUGCAGAGCACCUCAUAUUUAUCACUGUUUAAUACCGUAGUAGAAACUAAUGCACUAUCAUGUGAGAUGAGUCUUUGGGAGAACCAGUGAAGAAUAUGUUUUCACUGGCAUCUCAUUCCUUUGGGAGCAUGAAGUCUUCCCAAAGGCAGCACACUUGUAUGUGGAAAUCCCGGCAUCGGUGUAGAAUGCAUAGUCAUUCUCAACUGGAGACAACUCAGAUGGCCCACAGCACCUAAGAAAUUUCUGUUUAUCGUAGAACUCCUUGAAACAAUGAAUGGUGAUAUAUGCCAUGGCCAGUGGUAGGAAGAAGGUUAGUCAGAGUAUAUAAAUAAUUAUUGUCACAUGUUAGUGACUAUACAACAAGUUUGGAUUGGAAAUGAAUUUAUUUGGCACUGAUUCCUGUAUCUGCAAGUGAUUGUACAAUAGUUUAUAAGAAUUCAUAAUUGUUCACUAUCUUUUGGACUGUUUUUGCUUGUAUCCUUGGUACUGUGUCGUCAUGGUCUCAUCACUGGGAUGCAGGCUCAUCUCAUAUCGCCUUGUUGUGGAUCAGGUAGUCAAAGCUGGGCUUACGAGUAGUAAAAUAUUUCUGUUAUGGAGGGGUCUACUGCUUGUGAUGUGUCUUGCUGUGACGUUUCCUAGUAAUUGAUGCCUCUUUGAUAUUCCUGUGAAGAUUCUGAAUUUUGGUCAUGGUAUCACUAUAUUAAUGAAGAAAAUCAGUAGAUGGUAGAAUAGCAUAGCUUAAUCGGCAGAUACAAAAUUUAUAACUGGGAGGAAGAGUUAUCCAGUAUAGGGGAAUGGAAAGUCAAAUCCAUGAAUGAAGUUUUUCUGUAAGUUGAGAUGUAUGCACAGAUCAGUAACUGGUCUAAUGACGAUAAAGUCAAUAUAUUACAGGCUAAGCUGUGUGGUGAUGCUUUACAGCUUGUGGGAUGACAAGAAGACUUUAGUGACCUAUGAGACAUUUUAAAAAUAACAAAACUAGCAGGAAGGUUUAGUGGGAAGCUACCCGCUCGGUACCGAGGCAGAUGUAUGACUGGCAAGUGGAGGGUUUGGAAGAGGUACCUAGAAAAAACAGUUCAGUAAUGUUUCAGCUGCAUGAAUGUAAAGGGGAUACACACAGUGACUCAUUGCUAUACAGGAAGCUAUAAUUGGUAAACUACAUGGCUCUUAAGUGCCUCACAAUUUUACGCCAUGUGCAAAUCGUGGACCGGUGUGCACCUUGGUGCCAGUGGUGAGGAGAACCUUAUUUUACAGGUGCUGGAAUAUCUUCAGAUGGGUGUCUGCCCAAAAUGUCCAGACAGGACUAACAUAAGACAUUAUGGAUCAUAAGAACUUUGUGGAGGGUCAGUCUAAUGUUAGCCCUCAAUCGCUAUCUUCUGAAUAGGGAAUAUACUCCAGUGAAUGUUCUGAAGGCCUU